rnacentral:rRNA from 1 species
CCUACGGGAGGCAGCAGUGAGGAAUAUUGGUCAAUGGGCGAGAGCCUGAACCAGCCAAGUCGCGUGAGGGAAGACGGUCCUAUGGAUUGUAAACCUCUUUUGUCGGGGAGCAAAAAGGCCUCGUGAGGCCACAAGCGAGAGUACCCGAAGAAAAAGCAUCGGCUAACUCCGUGCCAGCAGCCGCGGUAAUACGGAGGAUGCGAGCGUUAUCCGGAUUUAUUGGGUUUAAAGGGUGCGUAGGCGGACUGGAAAGUCAGCGGUAAAAUCGAGAGGCUCAACCUCUUUCCGCCGUUGAAACUGUCGGUCUUGAGUGGGCGAGAAGUAUGCGGAAUGCGUGGUGUAGCGGUGAAAUGCAUAGAUAUCACGCAGAACUCCGAUUGCGAAGGCAGCAUACCGGCGCCCGACUGACGCUGAGGCACGAAAGCGUGGGUAUCGAAC